UUAGCAAGUAGAAGUGGCAAUGGGCUGGCCAUAUUGCUCGCAGAGCAGAUGGCCGAUGGGGUCGAAAAGUGCUGGAGUGGAGACCACGGACUAGCAAGCGCAGCGUAGGACGUCCACCAACAAGGUGGACAGACGACCUUAUGUCGGUCGCCGUCGACGCUGGAUGCAGGUCGCCUCCAACAGGUAUCUGUGGAGAUCAACGGGGGAGGCCUAUGUUCAGCAGUGGACGUCCUAUGGCUGAGAUGAUGAUGAUGAUGA
rnacentral:lncRNA from 1 species